CUAGGCUUGACAUGUACGUGGUAAGACCGUGAAAGCGGGAUGACUCGCAAGAGAGCGUACACAGAUGCUGCAUGGCUGUCGUCAGCUCGUGCCGUGAGGUGUUGGGUUAAGUCCCGCAACGAGCGCAACCCUCGCUGCCAGUUACCAUGUCUGGCGGGACCGCCGGGUCCAACCCGGAGGAAGGUGGGGAUGACGUCAAGUCAGCACGGCUCUUACGUCUAGGGCUACACACACGCUACAAUGGCCGGUACAACGCGCAGCGAUGGGGCGACCUGGAGCGAAUCGCAUCAAAGCCGGUCUCAGUUGGGAUUGCAGGCUGCAACUCGCCUGCAUGAACGCGGAGUUGCUAGUAACCGCAGGUCAGCACACUGCGGUGAAUACGUUCCC
rnacentral:rRNA from 1 species